CGGCACUUUGGAGAAGCGUUCUUUUCCUCCUCGUUUCGGCGUCGGUUUCCCCUGUGUACUUCCAACACGCUAACUAUGCAAAACGACGCCGUUGUCAUUUGCGUUUUUCUCCCCUCAGUAGUUCCUUCGAGCAAUGUUCUUUCGUUUCUGGUGUAUAUCUUCAAUCAGUGACGAGAUUUUGAGCUGUUAGCUUCCUUGGAUGUUUGAUUUGACAGUGAAUCAGGAGAGUGCUUGGAAAGGACAAUAAUGGUUAGAGUGAGCUUCUUUUACACGAUAUGAAGCAUUGGAACUGAUUUGACAAUUGAAUGCACAGUUUGUGGUUGUACAAUAUCAUUUGUGGCCUUCAUGGAGAUAGAGUUAAUUCAUUGUGGGUGCUACAAUGGUGAGUUUGGUUGCUCUAUUUAAGGUAAAGGUGAUUGUUGUCAUGGUAUUUAGCAAUAGUAAUUAAUUUUCAAUUUUUAUUUUUUUUUUCAAAAAAAAACUUUGUAUGUGAAAUUAUGGUUUAGUUAUGGUCAUUCAUUGUCAAGAAUCUCAGGAAAUUUGAGGACAAAAAGAAAAGAAUGAAUGAAGUUUUAAAUUCAAUGUUUUUAUGGUGUUGUUGGCUUUUGAUGGGUUAAAGUGAAAUUUUAAUCUGAACCUAGUAUAGUUUCAUGUAUGGAGGAGAUCCAAAGAGGGGGUUUGACUAAGAAAAUUGCUUAAUUCGAAUUGGUUGGAGUUUGGGCUUCUGGGUUACUGUUAGCUCAGUUGAGGUUAUAAGGAGUCUUUUCAUUAAAGUUUGCUUUCAGUUGUUUAUUUGGUUGCUGAGAUAACUUAGAGAAGGGAGAAAAAGAAAAGGGCAAGGUGUUGGUUCUAAUUUUAGGCUCAGUUAAAAACCAUAAACAAAAGAAAUAGAAGGGGAAAAAAAAGAAGAAGAAAAACAAUUGAGAAGGCAUUCGCCUGUAGAUUUGUCAUUCAAGGGAGAUGUUUUGGAGUCCUUGAUUAUGGAAAUUUCGAAGUAGUAACAUGCCUAGAUCAUACAGGUCGUAACAUAUCUCAUUAAACCAUGAUAUGAAGACAAAGUGAAUGGUGCCUUUCAAGCAUAGCUCGUAGUUAAUCUGUCUUCUUCUUGUUUUUAUCUGCUUCUAUUUUAGAUAUUUUGAUAUCUAGCUGUUAUAUAUAUGGUUUGAAUGUUUAUGAACAUACUUUUAUUCUUUUGUGAUUCUAUCUUCGUCUAUGAUCUUUCUACCAUCUCUCUCUCUCUCUCUCUCUCUCUCUCUCUCUCUCUCUCUAUUUUACAUUUUUAAUC